rnacentral:lncRNA from 1 species
AAACUAAGAAAAUUGAAUGACGUCUUUUAUAUACUCAAAAUCAAGAAAAAUCUCUUUUUGGUGAAUAAACUAAUUUCAUAUGGUUGUUUAAGAUGCAAUUUGAUAAUAAUGGAUAUUUUAUAAAGAUGUUAGAUAGAGAUGAUGUUGAUAAGGGCUUUUGAAAUGGCAACAUCUACUUUAUCAAGCAUAAAAAAGUAAAU